UGCAGAUCCCAAAUCUGUCGUGUGUUCAUUCUUCAAACAGGGACAAUGUACUAAAGGAGAUAAAUGUAAGUUCAUGACCUCACUUUGGAGAGAAAAAUGUGAAAAAUGAAGUGUUUACAUUGAUGCAAGAGAUGAAGAAAUUGAAAAAGAUACUAUGGGUAAUUGGGAUGAGAAAAAGCUGGAAGCAGUAGUAAACAAGAAGCACAGUGAGGUGGAAAAGAAAAAAACUCAAAUAGUGUGCAGACAUUUUCCUGAAGCUAUUGAAAAUAACAAGUAUGGCUGGUUGUGGGUGUGUCCUGGAGGUGGGGACAAUUGCGUGUAUCACCAUGCACUUCCUCCUGGAUUUGUGCUAAAGAAAGACAAAAAGAAAGAAGAGAAAGAAGAUGAAAUCUCAUUAGAAGAUCUAAUUGAAAGACAGCAUUCUGUCCUAGGUCCAAAUGUUACCAAAAUCACUCUAGAAUCUUUUCUUGUGUGGAAGAAAAAGGAAAGACAAGAAAAGAUUGGUAAACUUGAACAAGGUAUCGAGAGGCGGAGAGCUGACUUCAAAGCAGGGAAAGCACUGGUGAUCAGUGGUCGUGAGGUAUUUGAAUUUCAUCCUGAGUUGGUGAAUGAUGAUGACAAGGAAGCCGAUGAUACCUGUUACAUUCAGGGAACAGGUGGUGAUGAGGUUGAUGAUUCUAUGGGUGUAAAUGACAUAGAUAUAAGCCUGUACAUCCCAAGGGAUGUAGAAGAGACGGGUAUCACUGUGGCCAGUCUUGAAAGAUUCAGCAUUGUAUGCAUCAGAUAAAGAUGAGAACAAAUCAAGUGAAGCUUCUGGAGGUCUGGCUGAAAACGGUAAAAGAAGUGAUUUGGACG